CCAGAGACUUAGCAGAGAUGCUUUGGUGCCUUCGGGAACUCUGAGACAGGUGCUGCAUGGCUGUCGUCAGCUCGUGUUGUGAAAUGUUGGUUAAGUCCCGCAACGAGCGCAACCCUUAUCCUUUGUUGCCAGCGGUCCGGCCGGGAACUCAAAGGAGACUGCCAGUGAUAAACUGGAGGAAGGUGGGGAUGACGUCAAGUCAUCAUGGCCCUUACGAGUAGGGCUACACACGUGCUACAAUGGCGCAUACAAAGAGAAGCGACCUCGCGAGGGCAAGCGGACCUCAUAAAGUGCGUCGUAGUCCGGAUUGGAGUCUGCAACUCGACUCCAUGAAGUCGGAAUCGCUAGUAAUCGUAGAUCAGAAUGCUACGGUGAAUACGUUCCCGGGCCUUGUACACACCGCCCGUCACACCAUGGGAGUGGGUUGCAAAAGAAGUAGGUAGCUUAACCUUCGGGAGGGCGCUUACCACUUUGUGAUUCAUGACUGGGGUGAAGUCGUAACAAGGUAAGCGUAGCGAG
rnacentral:rRNA from 1 species